CAGCAGCCGCCACGGUAAUACGUAGGUGGCAAGCGUUGUCCGGAAUUAUUGGGCGUAAAGGGCUCGCAGGCGGUUUCUUAAGUCUGAUGUGAAAGCCCCCGGCUCAACCGGGGAGGGUCAUUGGAAACUGGGAAACUUGAGUGCAGAAGAGGAGAGUGGAAUUCCACGUGUAGCGGUGAAAUGCGUAGAGAUGUGGAGGAACACCAGUGGCGAAGGCGACUCUCUGGUCUGUAACUGACGCUGAGGAGCGAAAGCGUGGGGAGCGAACAGGAUUAGAUACCCCAGUAGUCCCUGUCUCUUAUAC
rnacentral:rRNA from 1 species